AUUGAACGCUGGCGGCAGGCCUAACACAUGCAAGUCGAACGAGUGGCGGACGGGUGAGUAAUGUCUGGGAAACUGCCUGAUGGAGGGGGAUAACUACUGGAAACGGUAGCUAAUACCGCAUACCAUCAGAUGUGCCCAGAUGGGAUUAGCUAGUUGGUGGGGUAACAGCUCACCAAGGCGACGAUCCCUAGCUGGUCUGAGAGGAUGACAGGCCACACUGGAGCUGAGACACGUUCCAGACGCCUACGUGAGGCAGCAGUGGGGAAUGUUGCACAAUAGGCGCAAGCCUGAUGCAGCCAUGCCGCGUGUAUGAAGAAGGCCUUCGGGUUGUAAAGUACUUGCAGCGGGGAGGCGUUACCCGCAGAAGAAGCACCGGCUAACUCCGAGCCAGCAGCCGCGGUAAUUC
rnacentral:rRNA from 1 species